GUCUUUAACCAUCUGGGCCCAGUGCAGUGGUCCUGCGUGUAAUCCCAAGACUUUUGGAGGCCAAGGUGGGAGGAUCACUUGAGGUCAGGAGUUUGAGACCAGCCU